AGCUGAAUUUGAAAUGUAUACAUGUGGAAACUUCUAGUGAUUCUUAGUGUAUAUGUAGAUCACAAUAGGAAAAUUAGAGGCAAUGCAUGACCCACAAGUGCAAUUUCUUGAAUGGACACGUAAUAAAGCAAUUUUUUGUAGUGCAACUUAAAGUAAUAAGGUAAAAUAAUUUCCUACAUAAUAUAAUUAUAUCUUUUUACAGUGUUUGUUUUUGAACUUUGAGAUAUUAAAAAGGCUUUUGUUCUAAGAUUAGUAGCUCCUAAAAACAUGAUCUUCCUUUGUGUUAUUGGUCUAGAGUUUGAGUUUAAUGUAAAAGUAGUAGACAGGCAACUCAUGGUGCUAAUUCUGAGCUACUGGUACGGAAUUUAUGUGUAUUCUAUAAUUAAUAUUAAAUGUGCUUCUUCUGUACAAGUAUAUGUGCUAAUUUUAGUAUCUUUUACAGAAAGCGAAAAAAAAAAAGAAUAAAAUGUGCAUCUUUUGUGCCAUUAAUCUAUAAUAAUUUUAUGUGUAUUCUAAAAGUAUUUUAACUUUGAAUAACAUGAAAAAACAUUGUGUUAUUGGUGUAGGGUUUGAUUUCUAAAAAUAAUAAAAUUGCAAUUUUUUUUUCGUUAUCUAAAAAUAAUAAAACAUUAUAAUAUUUUGAAUGGAAAACUUGCUCGGGUCCAGGUUAUAUAUAUAUUAAAAUAAUAUGACAGCAUCUGCUCCAAUUUUUUCAGGUUUAUACUUACCUUCCUUUAUGUGUGUAUCUUGUGGAGGACUGUUGUAUCCAACAAGAAAUCAUCCUUCCAGUAACUCAGUGUUUUUCGCUUCCUCAGCCCUACCUACUCCACUGGUAUUCUGGAAAUACUAAUGAAGAUUGUACCAUUGGAGUUUGCACAGGAGGUGGAACAGGAUCUUGCAAAGAAGUUGGCACUAAC
rnacentral:lncRNA from 1 species